rnacentral:rRNA from 1 species
GGUUGAUCCUGCCAGUAGUCAUAUGCUUGUCCCAAAGAUUAAGCCAUGCAUGUCCAAGUAUGAAUUGUUGUACGGUGAAACUGCGAAUGGCUCAUUAAAUCAGUUAUAAUUUGCUUGAUAGUGUAUACUACGGAUAACUGUGGUAAUUCUAGAGCUAAUACGUGCAAAGAGCCUUAUGGGUGGUAUUUAUUAGAUACAAAGCCGAGGGAGUAAUCCCCCAGGUGAUUCAUGAUAACUAUGCGGAUCGUUUAACGACGUAUCGAAUGAAUUUCUGCCCUAUCAACUUUCGAUG